CAAACCGCACGAUUUGGGUUGGGUAGUCGGUGCACUGGAUACACCCGCCCUUGUGUAUAUUCUAGUGGAGCUGAUGUGGAGAAGUAGUAAAAGAAAUGGCGCCAUUCCUGCGGCGGUGUCAUUCAGGCAGCAGGCUCCUUCCCGCGGUACCAAAUUUUAAUCUGCUGAGGUCAUGCACCAUAUAUGAUUCUUAUUCCCCCCUGUUUUCUUUAGAAUUUUUUAGUUUUUCCCUAGUAAAUCUUAGGCUGCAAGGACAACUACUCACAGGUAGUGUAAUAUAUAUGUACCAGGUAUUGUUCCAGAACCUUCUCAUCAAAAGCUUUUACCUCAUGAACAUGUCAUACCAGGAUUGUUAACUGCAGUUCAGCUGCCUUUCAUGGAUUUGGUGUAUAUGUAUAUGUAAUGGUUUUUUUUACGAUGGUCCCUAAUACUUACUACCUAACUAGGGUCAUUUGCUAUCCCUAGAAAUAAAGGAGAUGCAAA